rnacentral:rRNA from 1 species
AGUGGCGAACGGGUGAGUAACACGUGAGUAACCUGCCCCAGACUCUGGAAUAACCCCGGGAAACCGGAGCUAAUACCGGAUACGAGACGAAGCUGCAUGGCUAUCGUCUGGAAAGUUUUUCGGUCUGGGAUGGACUCGCGGCCUAUCAGCUUGUUGGUGAGGUAAUGGCUCACCAAGGCGACGACGGGUAGCCGGCCUGAGAGGGCGACCGGCCACACUGGGACUGAGACACGGCCCAGACUCCUACGGGAGGCAGCAGUGGGGAAUAUUGCACAAUGGGCGAAAGCCUGAUGCAGCGACGCCGCGUGAGGGAUGACGGCCUUCGGGUUGUAAACCUCUUUCAGCAGGGAAGAAGCGAAAGUGACGGUACCUGCAGAAGAAGCACCGGCUAACUACGUGCCAGCAGCCGCGGUAAUACGUAGGGUGCGAGCGUUGUCCGGAAUUAUUGGGCGUAAAGAGCUUGUAGGCGGUUUGUCGCGUCUGCCGUGAAAAUCCGAGGCUCAACCUCGGACUUGCGGUGGGUACGGGCAGACUAGAGUGUGGUAGGGGAGACUGGAAUUCCUGGUGUAGCGGUGAAAUGCGCAGAUAUCAGGAGGAACACCGAUGGCGA